ensembl:snoRNA SNORD79 Small nucleolar RNA SNORD79
UACUGUUACUGAUGAACUUGUGUAAUACAAUGGGAAUCUCUCUGAAAUGUAAAGAGUUUUACCUUGAAGAGAAUUUUGCACUGAAACAGUA